UAAUACCGCAUAAGCGCACAGGGCCGCAUGGCCCGGUGUGAAAAACUCCGGUGGUAUGAGAUGGACCCGCGUCUGAUUAGCUAGUUGGCAGGGAACGGCCUACCAAGGCGACGAUCAGUAGCCGGCCUGAGAGGGUGGACGGCCACAUUGGGACUGAGACACGGCCCAGACUCCUACGGGAGGCAGCAGUGGGAAUAUUGCACAAUGGGGGAAACCCUGAUGCAGCGAUGCCGCGUGAAGGAAGAAGGUUUCGGAUUGUAAACCUCUGUCUUUGGGGACGAUAAUGACGGUACCCAAGGAGGAAGCUCCGGCUAACUACGUGCCAGCAGCCGCGGUAAUACGUAGGGAGCAAGCGUUAUCCGGAAUUACUGGGUGUAAAGGGAGUGUAGGCGGGACUGCAAGUCAGAUGUGAAAAUUAUGGGCUCAACUCAUAACCUGCAUUUGAAACUGUAGUUCUUGAGUGAAGUAGAGGUAAGCGGAAUUCCUAGUGUAGCGGUGAAAUGCGUAGAUAUUAGGAGGAACAUCAGUGGCGAAGGCGGCUUACUGGGCUUUUACUGACGCUGAGGCUCGAAAGCGUGGGGAGCAAACAGGAUUAGAUACCCUGGUAGUCACGCUGUAAACGAUGAUUACUAGGUGUGGGGGGACUGACCCCUUCCGUGCGCAGUUAACACAAUAAGUAAUCCACCUGGGGAGUACGGUCGCAAGACUGAAACUCAAAGGAAUUGACGGGGGCCCGCACAAGCAGUGGAGUAUGCGGUUUAAUUCGACGCAACGCGAAGAACCUUACCAGGUCUUGACAUCUAACGAAUGCUGUAGAGAUACGGCAGUGCCCUUCGGGAACGUUAAGACAGGUGGUGCAUGGUUGUCGUCAGCUCGUGUCGUGAGAUGUUGGGUUAAGUCCCGCAACGAGCGCAACCCUUAUGUUUAGUUGCUACGCAAGAGCACUCUAGAAGACUGCCGUUGACAAAACGGAGGAAGGUGGGGAUGACGUCAAAUCAUCAUGCCCCUUAUGACCUGGGCUACACGCGUACUACAAUGGCCGUCAACAGAGGGAAGCAAUACAGCGAUGUGGA
rnacentral:rRNA from 1 species